GUAACGGCGAGUGAACGGAGAUUAGCCCAUCACCGAAGUCCGGUGCGUUUUGCAUGCAGGACAAUGUGGUGUUAAGGUGUGUGCCUGGGAUCGUGUACCUACUCGAAGUCCAACUCCGAUUGUGGCAUUGGAUAUUCCCCAGAGAGGGUGAAAGGCCCUUCCGGGUAGGCUGUUGCAUAUAUGCACGGUUCUCAGAUGCGCAUACUAUCGAGUCGGAUUGCUUGAGAAUGCAGUCCAAAGUGGGUGGUAAACUCCAUCCAAGGCUAAAUACUGGCACGAGUCCGAUAGUAGACAAGUACCGUGAGGGAAAGUUGAAAAGUACUCUGAAGAGAGAGUAAAUAGUACGUGAAGCCGCUUGCAGGGAAGCUGGUGGAGUCAAGCUUCGUGCGGAAAGAAUUGCAACUAAUGCUCGAUGUGUGUUAGGAUGCGUAGCCGGUCGGUGUGGAAAGUAUUGGGCGCAUUCGUGUGCUUCAAGACAUCCCGGGUUGCAUGUUUGGGCCGUGCUAUUGCGUCUUGGUGUUGGUUGUCUAUUCUUUCGUUGCACAGGUCACGUUCAACGGGCAUGGCAAUGCGUGAUUGUUGUACAGUGCUUUGGUGAGCCUCGAGUUUGCCGGGUGCUGGUUGGCAGGUUUCAGGUCGCGGGGUUCUCUCGUUGACUGAUUAUAGUGGUUUUGACCAGCCAAUUCUCAUUGCAAUGUCGUUUCCGUUGGUCCUGAACGGUGUGCGACCGCGAGGUCGUGCAUUAGUGAGAAACGUGAUCCUGAGGUAGACGUUCCAUCAGA
rnacentral:rRNA from 1 species